rnacentral:rRNA from 1 species
CCUACGGGUGGCAGCAGUGGGGAAUAUUGCACAAUGGGCGCAAGCCUGAUGCAGCCAUGCCGCGUGUGUGAAGAAGGCCUUCGGGUUGUAAAGCACUUUCAGCGGGGAGGAAGGCGUUAAGGUUAAUAACCUUGUCGAUUGACGUUACCCGCAGAAGGAGCACCGGCUAACUCCGUGCCAGCAGCCGCGGUAAUACGGAGGGUGCAAGCGUUAAUCGGAAUUACUGGGCGUAAAGCGCACGCAGGCGGUCUGUCAAGUCGGAUGUGAAAUCCCCGGGCUCAACCUGGGAACUGCAUUCGAAACGGGCAGGCUAGAGUCUUGUAGAGGGGGGUAGAAUUCCAGGUGUAGCGGUGAAAUGCGUAGAGAUCUGGAGGAAUACCGGUGGCGAAGGCGGCCCCCUGGACAAAGACUGACGCUCAGGUGCGAAAGCGUGGGGAGCAAACAGGAUUAGAUACCCUAGUAGUC